rnacentral:pre_miRNA from 1 species
AUUUGAGGAUAUUGGUGAUUUUGUUAAAGAAGGCAUUACUAUUUAAUUUAGUAAUGCCUUCUUUAACAAAAUCACCAAUAUCCACA